GAGUUUGAUCCUGGCUCAGGAUGAACGCUAGCGGCAGGCUUAAUACAUGCAAGUCGAGGGGCAGCAGCUUUAUAGCAAUAUAGAGGCUGGCGACCGGCAAACGGGUGCGGAACACGUACACAACCUUCCUUGAAUAGGGGGAUAGCCCAUAGAAAUGUGGAUUAAUACCCCGUAAUAUAGCGGUGUGGCAUCACACUGUUAUUAUAGUUUCGGCGAUUCGAGAUGGGUGUGCGGCUGAUUAGGUAGUUGGCGGGGUAAAGGCCCGCCAAGCCUUCGAUCAGUAGCUGAUGUGAGAGCAUGAUCAGCCACACGGGCACUGAGACACGGGCCCGACUCCUACGGGAGGCAGCAGUAAGGAAUAUUGGUCAAUGGACGCAAGUCUGAACCAGCCAUGCCGCGUGAAGGAUGAAGGUCCUCUGGAUUGUAAACUUCUUUUAUAGGGGGCGAAAAAAGGUCUUUCUAGAUCACUUGACAGUACCCUAUGAAUAAGCACCGGCUAACUCCGUGCUAGCAGCCGCGGUAAUACGGAGGGUGCAAGCGUUAUCCGGAUUCACUGGGUUUAAAGGGUGCGUAGGCGGGUAGGUAAGUCAGAGGUGAAAUCCUGGAGCUUAACUCCAGAACUGCCUUUGAUACUAUCUAUCUUGAAUAUGGUGGAGGUAAGCGGAAUAUGUCAUGUAGCGGUGAAAUGCAUAGAUAUGACAUAGAACACCUAUUGCGAAGGCAGCUUACUACGCCUAUAUUGACGCUGAGGCACGAAAGCGUGGGGAUCAAACAGGAUUAGAUACCCUGGGUAGUCCACGCCCUAAACGAUGAUUACUCGACGUAUGCGAUACACAGUAUGCGUCUGAGCGAAAGCAUUAAGUAAUCCACCUGGGAAGUACGACCGCAAGGUUGAAACUCAAAGGAAUUGGCGGGGUCCGCACAAGCGUGGAGCAUGKGCUUAUUCSAUGAUACGCGAGGAACCUAACUGGCUAGAUGGCAGUYUGACCGUGGGUGAAGGCUCAUUUCGUAGCAUASCAGAUUGUAAGKGCUGCAUGCCUGUCGUCAGCUCAGCCUGUGAAGGUAGGUAGUCGCACUAGGGCAGCCUAUCUAGUGCCAACGUUAGCUGGUAACUCUGAGKAACGKACGUCUGUAGAG
rnacentral:rRNA from 1 species